rnacentral:rRNA from 1 species
GACGAACGCUGGCGGCGUGCUUAACACAUGCAAGUCGAACGAAGAGCGAUGGAAGCUUGCUUCUAUCAAUCUUAGUGGCGAACGGGUGAGUAACGCGUAAUCAACCUGCCCUUCAGAGGGGGACAACAGUUGGAAACGACUGCUAAUACCGCAUACGAUCUAAUCUCGGCAUCGAGGAUAGAUGAAAGGUGGCCUCUACAUGUAAGCUAUCACUGAAGGAGGGGAUUGCGUCUGAUUAGCUAGUUGGAGGGGUAACGGCCCACCAAGGCGAUGAUCAGUAGCCGGUCUGAGAGGAUGAACGGCCACAUUGGGACUGAGACACGGCCCAGACUCCUACGGGAGGCAGCAGUGGGGAAUCUUCCGCAAUGGACGAAAGUCUGACGGAGCAACGCCGCGUGAGUGAUGACGGCCUUCGGGUUGUAAAGCUNUGUUAAUCGGGACGAAAGGCCUUCUUGCGAAUAGUGAGAAGGAUGACG